rnacentral:rRNA from 1 species
AGGGUUUGAUUAUGGCUCAGGACGAACGCUGGCGGCAUGCUUAACACAUGCAAGUCGAACGGACUGAUUCCUUCGGGAUGAAAGUUAGUGGCGAACGGGUGAGUAAUGUAUGAGCAACCUGCCCCUGUCAACGGGAUAACACUUAGAAAUAGGUGCUAAUACGGUAUAAGACCACGGCAUCGCAUGGUGCUGCGGUAAAAGAUUUUAUCGGACAGGGAUGGGCUCAUAUCCCAUUAGCUAGUUGGUGAGAUAACAGCCCACCAAGGCGACGAUGGGUAGCCGAGCUGAGAGGCUGAUCGGCCACAUUGGGACUGAAACACGGCCCAG